rnacentral:lncRNA from 1 species
UCUUUAAUCAAAGAGCAGAAUGCUCUGAGGGAUACGAUUGCCAUAUAGUUUUCAUUGACACAUGUAUAGCAGUUCUGCCAACUUUUCAUUAAGCAAAUUCGUGAGAUUUGGCCAAAAUAGAAAAGAUCAAAGAGGAAAAAAUUGAUCCAAGGAUACUGCUGCAAAAAAGCAUGAACAUGCGUGAGUCUCACGCAUUUUUGGCAGCCCUGGCCUUGAUAGUCCAAAUAAUUAUGACGUCUUGAAAGGCUAUUAUAUUUUUUUUUUCUUUGACGCCUUACUUCGACAGCUGGAUAGUAUUAUUUUCAAAACUAAUUCAACUGCACAUGCAAAGGUAAUAUAAAUCUGAAUAGUCACUCAACUUUAAAAAUAGCUAAUCCCGGAUACAAGUGUACGAGCAAUGUACUUAUUGUGUUUUAUUUGUGUGCUAUCAAUUCCAAGUUUACUUUCCACAGCAGUCACUGAGAGAGAGAGAGAGAGAAGGUAUUUCACUUCAUAGUUCGAGAUUACUCUGAUGUCCGACGGCUGAUUUGCCAGACAAGCUGGGACCGUGGGGGACUUUUAUGCUAGUAUACUUAAAUUACAAACUUAAAUAGUCCCAGUCCCAUAUAUUAUAUCAAGUAUUAUUGGAUGCCGAAUUGAAUUUUAAAUAGGUGCCGAUUUGACUAGAUGCCGAUUUAACCAGGUGCCGAUUUGACUUUUUCUAUGGGUGCCGAUUUGACCAGGUGCCGAUUUGACUUGUACCCAGUAAUCUCGGGACUAUUCACUUCGUAUCUUAUCACCGUUAAUUCUAGGAGGAACCCCAUUUCCCAGUCCCAUAUAUUAUAUCAAAUAUUAUUGGAUGCCGAAUUGACUUUUAAAUAGGUGCCGAUUUGACUAGAUGCCGAUUUAACCAG